UACGUAGGGGGCUAGCGUUGUCCGGAUUUAUUGGGCGUAAAGAGCGUGUAGGCGGCCAGGUAGGUCUGCUGUGAAAACUCGAGGCUUAACCUCGAGAUGUCAUCGGAAACCAUCUGGCUAGAGUCCGGAAGAGGAGAGUGGAAUUCCCGGUGUAGCGGUGAAAUGCGCAGAUAUCGAGAGGAACACCGGUGGCGAAGGCGGCCUUCUGGACAGUGACUGACGCUGAGACGCGAAAGCGUGGGGAGCAAACAGG
rnacentral:rRNA from 1 species